AUGAGGAAGUGGGCGGUCCCUUCCGCUUUGAUUCUUCUUUGCCUUCUGAGUCUCCUUUCAGAUCAAGGUAGAAAAGUACAUGCAAAUGCUGAAGGAGCCGUAGAUCCUCCAAAAGUUGAGGAAAAGAUUGGCGCUGUGCCUAACGGUUUACAAACUGAUUCUUAUGUCGUUAAAAGGGAAUCCGAGUCGAUCUCUUCUAGAUCGCUUCGCAAUAAUGCGGAGAAAUUUGAAUUCCAAGCUGAGGUGUCUCGGCUUAUGGACAUUAUUAUCAAUUCUCUUUAUAGCAACAAGGAUAUUUUCCUCCGGGAGUUGAUCUCAAAUGCUUCUGAUGCGUUGGACAAGAUUAGGUUCCUUUCACUCACAGACAAAGAAGUUUUGGGUGAAGGUGACACUUCCAAGCUGGAGAUACAGAUUAAGUUGGACAAAGAGAAGAAAAUACUUUCACUUCGUGACAGAGGUAUAGGAAUGACAAAAGAAGAUUUAAUCAAGAACUUGGGAACAAUUGCAAAAUCUGGAACUUCUGCAUUUGUUGAGAAAAUGCAGGGCAGUGGAGACCUUAAUCUGAUUGGGCAGUUUGGGGUUGGUUUCUACUCUGUCUAUUUGGUAGCUGACUAUGUUGAAGUUGUUAGUAAACACAAUGAAGACAAACAGUAUGUGUGGGAAUCGAAGGCUGAUGGGGCAUUUUCCAUUUCUGAGGAUACUUGGAAUGAACCAUUGGGACGUGGAACUGAGAUUAGAUUGCAUCUUAGGGACGAAGCUCAGGAGUACUUGGAGGAGGGCAAAUUGAAGGAGUUGGUGAAGAGAUAUUCUGAAUUCAUAAACUUCCCCAUCUAUAUCUGGGCAAGCAAAGAGGUUGAUGUUGAGGUACCUGCCGAUGGAGAUUCAAGCGAUGAGGAGGACAACGCUGAAACCAGCUCUUCCGAGGAAGGAGAAGAUGAAGAUGAUGAAAAAAGUGAGGAUGAUGAUGCCGAAAAGAAACCGAAGACAAAGAAGGUGAAGGAAACUACUUAUGAAUGGGAGCUUCUGAAUGAUGUCAAGGCUAUAUGGUUGCGCAGUUCAAAGGAGGUGACAGAUGAAGAAUACACAAAGUUCUAUCAAUCUUUAGCAAAGGACUUCAGUGAUGAGAAGCCCAUGGCCUGGAGUCACUUCACUGCCGAAGGUGAUGUUGAGUUCAAGGCUGUUUUGUUUGUGCCUCCUAAAGCUCCUCAUGAUCUCUAUGACAGUUACUACAACACCAAUAAAGCCAACUUGAAGUUGUAUGUUAGGCGAGUUUUUAUCUCUGAGGAAUUUGAUGAGCUUUUGCCGAAGUAUUUGAGCUUUUUGAAGGGCCUUGUUGAUUCUGAUACACUACCGCUCAAUGUAUCAAGAGAGAUGUUACAAGCCCACAGCAGUUUGAAAACAAUCAAGAAGAAACUCAUUAGGAAAGCCCUUGAUAUGAUUCGUAAAAUUGCUGAGGAGGAUCCUGAUGAGUCCAGUGGCAAAGAUGAUAAAGAAGCAGAAAAAUCUGGUGAUGAUGAUGAGAAAAAGGGCCAAUAUACCAAAUUUUGGAAUGAAUUUGGAAAAUCCAUUAAACUUGGUAUCAUUGAGGAUGCAACCAACAGAAACCGCUUGGCAAAACUCCUACGAUUUGAGAGCACCAAAUCAGAUAGUAAAUUGACUUCACUAGAUCAGUACAUCUCAAGAAUGAAAUCAGGACAGAAAGAUAUCUUCUACAUUACAGGAACCAGCAAGGAGCAGUUGGAAAAAUCUCCAUUCUUGGAGAGGCUUAAGAAGAAAAAUUAUGAGGUUAUUUUCUUCACAGAUCCUGUUGAUGAAUACCUGAUGCAGUACCUGAUGGAUUAUGAAGGAAAGCAGUUCCAAAAUGUAUCCAAGGAAGGCCUAAAAAUGGGGAAAGACUCUAAGAACAAAGAACUCAAGGAGUCAUUUAAGGAACUUACCAAAUGGUGGAAGGGUGCACUUGCAACCAACAAUGUUGAUGAGGUGAAAAUUAGCAACCGUUUGGACAACACUCCUUGUGUGGUUGUCACAUCUAAGUUUGGAUGGAGCGCUAAUAUGGAGAGGAUCAUGCAAUCUCAAACCCUAUCAGAUGCUAGCAAGCAAGCAUACAUGCGUGGCAAGAGGGUCCUUGAGAUCAACCCAAGGCACCCAAUUAUCAAGGAGCUUCGUGAGAGAGUUGUCAAGGACCCAGAGGAUGAGGGUGUCAAGCAAACAGCUCAACUUAUAUACCAGACAGCUUUGAUGGAGAGCGGCUUCAAUCUAGCUGAUCCCAAGGAUUUCGCCUCACGCAUCUACAGCUCAGUUAGGUCUAGCCUAGAUAUCAGUCCCGAUGCAACAGUAGAGGAGGAAGAUGAUGUCGAAGAAACUGAGACAGAAGAUGCAGGCAGUUCGAAGGGAGAAGCUGAAACUGCCAAAGAUGAUUCAAAUACAGAUCCUACUGAUGCGAAGGAUGAAUUGUAGAUAGCGAGGCCUUGGGAUGCCAGUACUGUUGAGUUUUUCCCUUGGUAAUUAUGGAACUUUUGACGAAGAAGAUUCCACAUGUUCACUAUAUAUAUUUACAAUUUCUGACAGAGUCGCUGGCUUUUCAUCGGAGCCGUCCAAAGAAUUAUCAGAAGAAGCACUAGCAAAAGAGAGCUUAAAAGAGGUAGAUUUGAUUCGUUAGAGAUUAGAUUAGAAGACCAUUAUUUGAUGGUUGGUUUAUUUUAAUCAGCCGCCAUUGCUUUAGAUUUUAUCUGUAAUUAAACGGUUGAUUCCGAUUCGUUCAAUUUAUGUCAUUCAGCGGGUUAAUGGAACCAUUUUAAAAUU